rnacentral:lncRNA from 1 species
ACGAUUCCCUCCCCUCCUCUUGGCGAGCGACGGCCGCGCCCUCCCAUACCCCGCUGGCGCGCCUCAGAUUGCAUCCAGAUGCAGCCCCGCACGGGCGCUUCGCCGGCCCGCCCAUGCGGGAUCCGCCUCGUGCCCUCGUCCACCCCCUCCAUCAACCCCGUCCGCGAUUCCUCUGUGUCGCUGGUCCCUCUCCGUCGUCUGCCUCAUCCCAAGCCUCCCCAUCCGCAGCC